UCACCUUUUAAAACCGGUCCAGAGAGGCCGAGGAAGGGUGUGGCUCAGUGCUGGGGACCGUUUGGUGCCCCCGGCCUGCGGGGCAUAUUUCAUAUGCCUAAAAGCACCCUGAAAACUUUUCAGGGUGCUUUUUUAAU
rfam:Bacillus sp. SA2-6 scf7180000001080, whole genome shotgun sequence.